rnacentral:tRNA from 9 species
GGGCGCAUAGCUCAGCGGGAGAGCACUACCUUGACAUGGUAGGGGUCACAGGUUCAAUCCCUGUUGCGCCCACCA